rnacentral:rRNA from 1 species
CAAGGAGUUAGGAGUAAGGGGCGUGAGCCUUGACGAGGGAAACCCUCCUUGGGAUUCAACUCGAGAAAGGUUGACCCGCCGCCGCCGCCGUGGUGGAUAAUCUUGUGUUUUUCUCUUCGCUGCCGCCCACCGCCGGCCCCCUUUCACUCCGCUCCCGCGGAGAACUCCACCUCUGCCCCUGCCCCUGCCUUCCCCUUAGGCCGUUCAGGUGGCUCGUCGUCGGACUUCGAGAAAGAACGCCGUGGCUCUAGGUCUCCCGCCUAGUAUUUUGACCUCGCCCUCCUAUACGGAUUGGUCAGCCUGUGUAACCUACCACCACCGCUACCGCGUCUCCUACGCUACCUGCCCGUUUAGACAACAGAACCUCCUCCUAGUCAGACUUCUACAGAGAACGUCGGGACUCUAGGUCUCAUUCCAAGGUCAGGGAGGAGGAGGAGUGCCGUACUUCUUCCCCCUAGUGUUCCCAGGCCAGUAGGGAGGACUCUUCGAGUUUGUUAACCGCCCCGACGCUAGUCUUGACGAAUUCCUCCUCUUUUGCGACAACCGGCUAAAAGCUUCUGCCUUCCUCUCUCGUGACCUCCUCGUACUCUCCUGGCUUCCACUGAGCAACGGCACCUGCGGCUCGCACCUUAUACAUAGUCAACACUCACCAUAAAACCUACUGGAGCUGGCUUUGUCUCUCUUUGUCUUCCUCCAGUUAGGACAAAAAAAGCUUCGGUACCUUCGGAACAGCCGACUUCACCCCGCCUUCUUCUCCUGGUUCAACGCCUCCCCGUCGCCGUUUAGGGAGAACCUCCUUGGUCAAGAAAGAACGCCGAGAGACUAGGUCUCACUCCAAGGUCCAGGAGGAAGGGGAGGAGGAAAUGUUGUCGUCUCCGUUGGUAGACACAUACUGACGGUACUCUAAAUAGGCCUUCCACGGGUACUCCUACUCCGCUGUUGGUACCUCCGCGUAAAGUUUUUAAACCUGAACAGACCUUGGUUUAAUCUGCUGCCCCUUUUCCAGCUCCGCUCCUGCGUCGUCGGACUUCAAUAAAGAUCAGCUGGACUGUAGGUCUCAUUCCAAGGAGGAGCAGCGUCAUUCUUCCCUUUUAGGAAGCACCUCUUCGUCAACUAACCAGGUAACGGAGCACUCUGACUCUACGUCAGAGUUGAAGGAAGGGCGCCCGGACUAUGGCUCUACGUCAGAGCACCGUCAUUCUUCCCCUUGGCGCCCCCAGUAUUCUUCCCCUUGGCGCCCCCAGUAUUCUUCCCCUUCGUGCCUCCAACACGACGCCGAGGUGGACGUUCCGGGGUUGUGGUAAGUCGGUACCUAGACUUCGUCCAGGUUCCGAGGUUACUUAGGUUUGACACAGGUACACUAGUACUAUACUUCUACCUCUACCUGUCUCCGUUUAGCCGGGACCUUUAUCGGUUUCUCCUCCUCUACCGGAAACUCCGGUUCUGGAAACGGAGCAUGGCAUCUUCGAACCUUAGAUUGACCCCUCGCACACCGACGCGCAAGAAGCUUCUGUGCUGCUGGCACUCAGGGUACGUGAAGUGGGUGACGUGUGGACCUACGCUGGGUCCUCUACGGCGGUAGCGGCCCCGGUGGGACGUCUAGAAGUGGUAGUUCGAGCUCCUCAAUUUUCCGCCGGAACUCACCGGUAAUAGACACAUACCACACCAACGGCGAGCUCUGAGACACCUAGUGUCGGCGUUGGAGGAGAAGAGAACGCUAUCCACCUCCAGCGUUUUCGAGUCAGUCCUGCUAGGAAAGAACGCGAAUUAACCGGGCAGAGCACGGUAACACAAAUGGCUACUACAAAUGAAACUUUGGCUCGAUUCUCAUUUUCCGUUUUGUAACAGAGUUCUAUAUCGUAACUAAUCACCCUCCGCGGUAAUGUCGCCUCCUGCAUGGUAAAGGAAGUCGUUGACGAAGACGUCUUAUCUCAAUACGUACCUCGCUUAAGUACUUUGACAAGUCCGGUGAUAUAACCCACAGGCACAGUUUUUACCUGGUACCGGAAAGCUAAUGCCGCCAUUUCACCGAACGGAGAGUGGUGGCGCCUGUAUAUUCCAGUGACUACCAUUUCAGAAAAUAUGAUGAGUACGGGGUAGGUACCUUCAACACUACGAACGAAGUACGCCAUCUUGUUACGGAUUCCCAAGUAUACCAAUGGAAGCAGAUAGUUCCGUACUUCAAAGACAUCUUAACCUUCCUUCGGACUUACAACAGUAUGUUCGGAUGAGUCUUAGACCACUAUAGUGGCGUGUCCCACUCCAAACGAAAUGCGGGUUUCGAACGUUAUAUUCAGUCCUCUGUACAAAGAACCCACUGUCACUGGGAUUCCACCUUCACCUCUAAUGACAGCGAACCAGAGAAGAACGAAGCUUGUCCGCAGUAAACUACUACUUACCUUACCUGAAACUGCUUAACUUUCUUCGCCAGUCACCCUACCCUCAAACUUACAACACUUCUACUACCGAUUUCUCUCCGUGAUGUCUAGAGAUAAAGGAGAUUUAAAUAGACAGGCCAGACAGCUUCACGGAAACAUAAAGACGUAGAUUAUCGUCUAUAAAUACAAAUUACAGGUCGUUAAGCCGAUAAUUAGACGUACAAUACAUCCGUUGGCAUACACAUGUUGAACAUUCAAUACAACACAAAAAAGAAAGCCUUGCGCGUUCUCUUAACGCGACAGUA